GACGAACGCUGGCGGCGUGCUUAACACAUGCAAGUCGAACGGAAAGGCCCUGCUUUUGUGGGGUGCUCGAGUGGCGAACGGGUGAGUAACACGUGAGUAACCUGCCCUUGACUUUGGGAUAACUUCAGGAAACUGGGGCUAAUACCGGAUAGGAGCUCCUGCUGCAGGGUGGGGGUUGGAAAGUUUCGGCGGUUGGGGAUGGAUUCGCGGCUUAUCAGCUUGUUGGUGGGGUAGUGGCUUACCAAGGCUUUGACGGGUAGCCGGCCUGAGCGGGUGACCGGCCACAUUGGGACUGAGAUGCGGCCCAGACUCCUCCGGGAGGCAGCAGUGCGGAAUAUUGCACUGUGGGCGGCAGCCUGAUGCAGCAACGCCGCGUGCGGGAUGACGGCCUUCGGGUUGUAAACCGCUUUCGCCUGUGACGAUGCGUGAGUGACGGUAAUGGGUAAAGAAGCUCCGGCUAACUACGUG
rnacentral:rRNA from 1 species